GACGAACGCUGGCGGCGUGCCUAAUACAUGCAAGUCGAGCGGACCGACCAGGAGCUUGCUCUUGUUCGGUUAGCGGCGGACGGGUGAGUAACACGUGGGUAACCUGCCCGUAAGACCGGGAUAACUCCGGGAAACCGGAGCUAAUACCGGAUAACACCGAAGACCGCAUGGUCUUUGGUUGAAAGGCGGCUUCGGCUGCCACUUACGGAUGGGCCCGCGGCGCAUUAGCUAGUUGGUGAGGUAACGGCUCACCAAGGCGACGAUGCGUAGCCGGCCUGAGAGGGUGACCGGCCACACUGGGACUGAGACACGGCCCAGACGCCUACGGGAGGCAGCAGUAGGGAAUCUUCCGGAAUGGACGAAAGUCUGACGGAGAGACGCCGAGGGAGCGAAGAAGGUCUUCGGAUCGUAAAGAUCUGUUGUUAGGGAAGAAGAAGCGUCGUUCGAACAGGGCGGCGCGGUGACGGUACCUAACGAGAAAGCCCCGGCUAACUACGUG
rnacentral:rRNA from 1 species